UAGGGAAUCUUCGGCAAUGGGGGGAACCCUGACCGAGCAACGCCGCGUGAGUGAAGAAGGAUUUCGGUUCGUAAAACUCUGUUGUUAGAGAAGAACAGCGCAUAGAGUAACUGUUAUGCGUGUGACGGUAUCUAACCAGAAAGCCACGGCUAACUACGUGCCAGCAGCCGCGGUAAUACGUAGGUGGCAAGCGUUGUCCGGAUUUAUUGGGCGUAAAGCGAGCGCAGGCGGUCAAUUAAGUCUGAUGUGAAAGCCCACGGCUCAACCGGGGAGGGUCAUUGGAAACUGGUUGACUUGAGUGCAGAAGAGGAGAGUGGAAUUCCAUGUGUAGCGGUGAAAUGCGUAGAUAUAUGGAGGAACACCAGUGGCGAAGGCGACUCUCUGGUCUGUAACUGACGCUGAGGCUCGAAAGCGUGGGUAGCAAACAGG
rnacentral:rRNA from 1 species